rnacentral:misc_RNA from 1 species
GAUGAAGAACGUAGCGAACUGCGAUAAGUAAUGUGAAUUGCAGAAUUCAGUGAAUCAUCGAGUCUUUGAACGCACAUUGCGCCCCCUGGCAUUCCGGGGGGCAUGCCUGUCCGAGCGUCAUUGCUGCCCUUCAAGCCCGGCUUGUGUGUUGGGUCGUCGUCCCCCCCGGGGGACGGGCCCGAAAGGCAGCGGCGGCACCGCGUCCGGUCCUCGAGCGUAUGGGGCUUUGUCACCCGCUCGAUUAGGGCCGGCCGGGCGCCAGCCGGCGUCUCCAACCUUCUAUUUUACCAGGUUGACCUCGGAUCAGGUAGGGAUACCCGCUGAACUUAAGCAUAUCAAUAGCGGAGA